UUUACCAAUCAACAUCCUGCCAGGUUUUCACUCUGUACGGGACCGAUACACCUCUGUAAUAGAUUGUAAUCAGCAACUGCUGCUUUCUUUGAAAUGGUUUGGGGAAAAACAUUUUUGUAGCCCGAAAGUUACAGUACGUAGUGAUUAAUCCCGUCGCUUGAGGAAAUGUGCGUCAUACCUGGUAUUAAAUUCUCAGCUGCCUGCUGUUACCUUGGAGUGAGUUCAGGAUGGUGAAGAUGUAGAGGAUGGGGAGGUUGAUGUAGCCGAUGGAGAGGAAGCCCAGUCCCCAGAAUUCUAUAGACUGAGAUACUGCGAAUCCUGGCUGCAUCGAUCAACAGCAGGAUUGCUUACCAACUGGAUAUCAAGAUUCAAGGGAAAAGAUGACCUACCUGUGAGAC